rnacentral:rRNA from 1 species
CCUACGGGAGGCAGCAGUAAGGAAUAUUGGGCAAUGGAGGCAACUCUGACCCAGCCAUGCCGCGUGAAGGAUGACGGCCCUACGGGUUGUAAACUUCUUUUGUAUGGGAAUAAACCCGGUUACGUGUAACCGGUUGAAUGUACCAUAAGAAUAAGCAUCGGCUAACUCCGUGCCAGCAGCCGCGGUAAGACGGAGGAUGCAAGCGUUAUCCGGAUUUAUUGGGUUUAAAGGGAGCGUAGGCGGGAUAAUAAGUCAGUGGUGAAAUCUUGGGGCUCAACCCCGAAACUGCCAUUGAUACUGUUAACCUAGAGUACAUUUGAUGUGGGCGGAAUGUGUCAUGUAGCGGUGAAAUGCUUAGAUAUGACACAGAACACCGAUUGCGUAGGCAGCUCACAAAACUGUAACUGACGCUGAGGCUCGAAAGCGUGGGGAUCAAACAGGAUUAGAUACCCUGGUAGUCCACGCCGUAAACUAUGAUCACUCGAUGUUGGCGAUACACUGUCAGCGUCUGAGCGAAGACAUUAAGUAGUAUCCACCGUACGGGAGGUACGGUCGGCGAACGACGUAGAAACGUUAAAGGUAAAGUUAGUACGGACGUGAGACGUAGACCGACGGACGACGACGAGGGAGGAGG